GUCUUAUUGAUUAUAAUUUUAAGUCUAAUCUGCCCAAUGAGUGAUUAAAUGGCUGCAGUAUUUUAACUGUACAAAGGUAGCAUAAUAAUUAGUUUCUUAAUUAGGAACUGGAAUGAAUGAUUGGACGAAAUAGUGACUGUCUUAGUUUAAAUUUUAGAAUUUUAUUUUUGAGUUAAAAAGCUUAAAUUUUUUUAAAAGACGAGAAGACCCUAUAGAAUUUUAUAUUAUUUGAAUAUUUUGUUAUUGGGAUUUUAAUAUAGAAUUUUUUAAUUAGUAUUUAGUUGGGGUGAUUGAAAAAUUUAAUAAACUUUUUUUUAUUAUUAACAUUAAUAUAUGAUUAUAUGAUCCAGUUUUUCUGAUUAUAAGAUUAAAUUACCUUAGGGAUAACAGCGUAAUUUUUUUAGAGAGUUCUAAUCGAUAAAAGAGAUUGCGACCUCGAUGUUGGAUUAAAGUUUAUUUUUAAUGUAGGAGUUAAAAUAUUAGGUCUGUUCGACCUUUAAAACUUUACAUGAUCUGAGUUUAAACCGGUGUGAGCCAGGUUGGAUUCUAUCUUUAAUUAAAUUAAAUAUUUUAGUACGAAAGGACCAAGUAUUUAUUAUAAUAGUUUUAUUAGAA
rnacentral:rRNA from 1 species